rnacentral:tRNA from 1 species
GAGGGUAUAGUUCAGUGGUAGAGUGUGUGUGCGUAGCAUACAUGAGGUCCUGGGUUCAAUCCCCAGUACCUCCA